CACGUAGGGCGCAAGCGUUGUCCGGAAUUAUUGGGCGUAAAGAGCUCGUAGGCGGUCUGUUGCGUCCGCUGUGAAAACUCGGGGCUUAACCCCGAGCCUGCAGUGGAUACGGGCAGACUAGAGGUAGGUAGGGGAGAAUGGAAUUCCCGGUGUAGCGGUGAAAUGCGCAGAUAUCGGGAGGAACACCGGUGGCGAAGGCGGCCCCCUGGGCCGAUAAAAAGUCCUGUCAAGGGAAACCUGGCUGGUACCUGACGCUGAGGCGCGAAGGCUAGGGGAGCGAACAGG
rnacentral:rRNA from 1 species